UACGUAGGUGGCGAGCGUUGUCCGGAUUUACUGGGCGUAAAGGGCGUGCAGGCGGUUUGUUAAGUGCAGGGUGAAAGCUCCCGGCUCAACUGGGAGAGGUCAAGGGAAACUACCGGACUAGAGUGUGGUAGGGGAUACUGGAAUUCCUGGUGUAGCGGUGAAAUGCGUAGAUAUCAGGAGGAAUACCUAUGGCGAAAGCAGGUAUCUGGGCCAUCACUGACGCUGAGCUGCGAAAGCUAGGGGAGCAAACAGG
rnacentral:rRNA from 1 species